AAUGCUUUAUGCGUAAAAUGGAUUCGUCUGCCCAAGGAUGGGUCUGCGGCCUAUCAGGUAGUAGUGGGUGUAAUGUACCUACUAGCCAGCGACGGGUACGGGUUGUGAGAGCAAGAGCCCGGAGAUGGAUUCUGAGACAUGAAUCCAGGCCCUACGGGGCGCAGCAGGCGCGAAAACUUUACAAUGCGGGAAACCGUGAUAAGGGGACACCGAGUGCCAGCAUCAUAUGCUGGCUGUCCAGGUGUGUAAAAUACACCUGUUAGCAAGGGCCGGGCAAGACCGGUGCCAGCCGCCGCGGUAACACCGGCGGCCCGAGUGGUGAUCGUGAUUAUUGGGUCUAAAGGGUCCGUAGCCGGUUUGGUCAGUCCUCCGGGAAAUCUGAUAGCUCAACUAUUAGGCUUUCGGGGGAUACUGCCAGACUUGGAACCGGGAGAGGUAAGAGGUACUACAGGGGUAGGAGUGAAAUCUUGUAAUCCCUGUGGGACCACCUGUGGCGAAGGCGUCUUACCAGAACGGGUUCGACGGUGAGGGACGAAAGCUGGGGGCACGAACCGGAUUAGAUACCCGGGUAGUCCCAGCCGUAAACGA
rnacentral:rRNA from 1 species